rnacentral:snoRNA from 1 species
GUGAUGUCACCCCAAUUACAUUCCUUGGAGCCGAACAAAAUGAGUGAAAACUUAAACCGUCAUUCUUAUCAUGACAGAUC